rnacentral:misc_RNA from 1 species
GAUGAGCUGAGCGAGAGUCGUCUUUCCAACGCCCCCCAUGCCUACUACGGCAAUGACAGAGAACUUUGCAAGAAUCGCUUCAACCUUCAACAAUUCAAUCAUUGCCUCCUUGUCCUUGUCCCUGUUAUAAACCUGUGCUUCAUUCACCAAAGAGGUUGUGGGUAGUCUUUCCCUUAUUUGGUUGGUCCUCCUACCACCCUCUCCCAAAAGCAGCACAUCCUUUUGUUCAUUGAUUUCAUCUAAUCUAGCAGUAAUUCUUUUUAUCUUGGAAAUCAUCUGCCCAUUGAACUUAACAGUAGUGAAAUU